CAUUAAGAAGCUAUGGACAAGCACUAGCCUUUUAAGCUAGAGAAAGAGGGACCCCCCCUCCUUAAUGA
rnacentral:tRNA from 1 species